UCACACAGAUACUCUCUGCGCACGCAUAUAUACAUUUUACAUAAAUUUUACGUUUCAGUUCUCACGCACACCCACAAGCAGCUGCUCUCCGUUUUCCCUCACAGCUGAUUGUUGGGUUUUCCAAUACUGCUUAACUAUACGAUAGUUUUUAGUGUUAUAAUCUACGUGCAAGGCAGACGCUCCAGUAGGAACCCAGCAGAAAUACAUAAUUGUCUCUCGUUUGGACGACUCGAAAACACAAAAGCAAAUAGGCUCCCGUCAUUACGAUAAUAACAGGUCGGAAACAGGGAACACAGGCCACUUGUGGCGAUCGCCUGGAUGUUGGCAGGAGGAAUUCGUUCGUCGCCGUCCCCGGGACUCUGGCGUCGUGAGCGUUAAAUAAGCCAGAACCGGGGAAUCGGCACCGGGCCACUGACUUAAAGAAGCAUUACCCCGGGAAAGGACAGCAGGAGUUUGAAUACAUUAUUUUCUUAUGAGGGCCUGAACAUUCCACAAACGUUAAACAAAUAAUAAGAGAGUAGGAGUUACCUGCUGGAACCGACGUUUUCAUUUUUUACGAACUUUUAUUGGUAAUUAUACAAAAGGGGUUUUAAAAAAUGUUAGUUUUCUGAUCGCCUUAGCUUAGAAAGAAAGUAAAUUUUAAUAAAAUGCUGUCAUUUAUUAUAAAUAACGAUUUCGAAAUAAAGAUGCACACAUGACUGUGACAAACUCUGA